GACAGAGGAUGCAAGCGUUAUCCGGAAUGAUUGGGCGUAAAGCGUCUGUAGGUGGCUUUUUAAGUCCGCCGUCAAAUCCCAGGGCUCAACCCUGGACAGGCGGUGGAAACUACCAAGCUGGAGUACGGUAGGGGCAGAGGGAAUUUCCGGUGGAGCGGUGAAAUGCGUAGAGACCCGGAGGAACACCAGUGGCGAAGGCGGCUUCCUGGUCUGCGACUGACGCUG
rnacentral:rRNA from 1 species